GUGCUUGCUUCAGCAGCACAUAUACAAAAAUUGGAACGAUACAGAGAAGAUUAGCAUGACUCCUGCGUAAGAAUGACAUGCAAAUUUGUCAAGUGUUCCAUAUUAAA